GCACUGGGCAUUGCCUGCUGCCUUUGAAAAGCUCAGGAACUGAGAGGACUGGAAGUUAUCCAGCUAGUUACACAGAAAUUCUUCCCAAAUGUUGGGGGCCACUUUUGGAGGAUUUAUUUAUUUUUAACAUGCACCUACUCAUUUUCAAGGAAGAGGCCUUUGAAGAGGACAAAUGAAGCUGAUAAUCACUGGUGACUCCAAAUAGCCCUUUAAGAAGUCUUGUUGCCCUGCCUUCUGCCAGCCUCCAGGACGGUGCACAUGAGUGACAGCCUCUAUCUAGUGUUUGAAUCUAUGAACCUUUAAUCCAUCAACAUGCUUCUAAAACUGAGAGAGUACCUCUACCAUGUACUUACACCCUUCCUGCACAAACCCUGUCAUCUUGGGACCCACAGAAAUGCCACCACAUUUGAAGCCAGCUGAAUAUAUUUUCCUAAUCUCAUGCAGACUUUAUGGCUAUAAUUUGGCUACUGACACAAUUUUAAAUUAGCUUUUGCUUCAAUGAAAGAAGGCAAACCAUGUCUUGGGAUUUGUUUUCUUUUUUAAAAUCUCUCACACAAUAAUCAUAUAUACAUAUGUGUUAUUAUAAUAAUAUAAAAUUGUAAAAUGUUGUUAAAGCAAUUUGGGUGAUCAGUUAAACAGGGGAGGGGGAAUUUACUCCAUCUUAUUUUCUUAUUCCCCUAAGUCCAGCUUCCUGAAGUUUGCCUUGAUAGAUGAGACUGUUGUCUUUGAAUAGAAACCCCUGCUUGCUGGGCGUUGGAGUGAAGAUGGGGUGGGGCAUAA